UAACUCAGUUGGUAGAGUAUCACACUUUUAAUGUGAGAGUCCCGGGUUCGAGUCCCGGG
rnacentral:tRNA from 1 species